rnacentral:lncRNA from 1 species
AUGGCUAGACACCAUGGGUCUCUGGGCACAGCUCCUCCUGGAUUCUUGGAAUCUCAGCCUGGAGGCAGCAAGGGGCAGAGACAGCCUCCUGGGUCAUUGGCAGAUCCCCACCACAAGGAUGGAACGGGAAGAGAUAACAAAAGAAACAUCAAACGGUGCAGGAGCCUUCAGGCAGCCUCAGGCAGACGGAACAGCCUGCCAGGGCGACUCCUGUGCCAGCAGCAUUUGGGCCCUCUUCCUAAGGAACAUCAGAAGGAAUCCAACCACAGAAGGCAGAAAGGAAAAGACCCAGGUCCUGGCACAGCUUUGCCCUUUAUCCUGGCAUUUACGCCCUCCCCCCAAUUAUCUUCUGGUGCCCACCUCCCACCUCUUACAGGCAGGUCAGGUGCCAAAGUGACUGCUCCACCCCGGGGAAAUUCAGGUCGUGCUUCUAUCCCUAUCCUCAGCCGUGGGCCGGAAACGCCCCUCCUCUCAGACCACCUGCUUCAUCCCAGAACCGCCCAUUCCUCCCCAAGACGCCCAUUUUUACUACAAAGGCCCGCUCAUCCAAGGCCUCCUCCCGGAGAAACUGUCCCUCCUUGGCUCUACCUGGGUCAGUCGCCCGACCCCCACAAACACCUGUUUGACCUCGGGGCUCUCGCCCCACCCCUCGGUCACCUGAGUCACUCCAUCCAUCUCAGAUUCACAGGGGCACUCGCCCACGCCCCCAACCCACUCCGAAGGCCGCAGGCCGGGUCCUCACCUGGCGCUCCCCUGCUGCGGCCCUCCGCCCACCUCGCCCCCAUCUCCUACCCCACAGUGGGGGGAGGGGCGCGCCGCGAGCCAGGGGCGACACGGGUGGGUCCGCGUGCCCGCCGCGCGCGGCUGACAAAGAGCGGGGCCGCGCCAUGCGGACGCGCGACCGGGGACCGAGCGGGCGCCUGGGCCAGCGGCCGAGACUCGGGGCCGAGAAGCGACCUUCCCCGCCCGGCCCUGCCCGCUCCCGUGCGUCUCUCGCCCGGCCCGGGAGGGCUCAGUGUCCCAUUUUCCCGGAGAACACGCCUUCCUUUGGCCGGGGCAGCGCCCGCCGAUGGGAACCCCCAGCUCCGCGCUCUCGGCGCUGGCCGCCGGGGCUGCAGGUGCGAGCCCCAGACGGCCGCGAUGACCGCGCCUGUCAACCCGCCUUCCUGCUGCCGCCGGCUCGCCGGGCUCGGGCGCGGCCGCCCCGCGCGAUCCAGCACCGCGCCCCGCCGCCGCCGCGCACCCCGCGCAGGCAGGCAGGGCGCCUGCAUCCGGCCCUGCGCCCCGCGCCCCGCGCCUUACCCUGGGAGCCGGAGGAGGGGAGACCGGCCGGCGGCCGCAGCAACGGCGGCGGCGGGGCGCGCCCCGAGCUGGAGCGCAGCGGAGGGGAGCGCAGCGGAGCCGAGGGGAGCGGCUCCCACAAUGGCCGAGCUCACGGCGCCGAGCCCCCCGCCCCCCGCGCCCUAG